rnacentral:rRNA from 1 species
GAGUUUGAUCGAUGGCUCAGGAUGAACGCUAGCUACAGGCUUAACACAUGGCAAGGUCGAGGGGAAACGACAUCGAAAGCUUGCUUUUGAUGGGCGUCGACCGGCUACGGGUGAGUAACGCGUAUCCAACCUGCCCACCACUUGGGGAUAACCUUGCGAAAGUAAGACUAAUACCCAAUGAUAUCUCUAGAAGACAUCUGAAAGAGAUUAAAGAUUUAUCGGUGAUGGAUGGGGAUGCGUCUGAUUAGCUUGUUGGCGGGGUAACGGCCCACCAAGGCAACGAUCAGUAGGGGUUCUGAGAGGAAGGUCCCCCACAUUGGAACUGAGACACGGUCCAAACUCCUACGGGAGGCAGCA